GAAGCAACGCGAAGAACCUUACCAGAGCUUGACAUCUCCUGCAUAAUCCGUAAUGGGAUGAAAUCCUUCGGGACAGGAAGACAGGUGGUGCAUGGUNGUCGUCAGCUCGUGUCGUGAGAUGUUGGGUUAAGUCCCGCAACGAGCGCAACCCCUAUACUUAGUUGCCAUCAUUAAGUUGGGCACUCUAAGUAGACUGCCGGAGACAAUUCGGAGGAAGGUGGGGAUGACGUCAAAUCAUCAUGCCCCUUAUGUUCUGGGCUACACACGUGCUACAAUGGGUAUAACAACGGGAAGCAANCCAGCGAUGGUGAGCNAAUCCCUAAAAAAUACUCCCAGUUCAGAUUGUUCUCUGCAACUCGAGAACAUGAAGUCGGAGUUGCUAGUAAUCGCGAAUCAGAACGUCGCGGUGAAUGCGUUCCCGGGUCUUGUACACACCGCCCGUCACACCAUGGAAGUUGAUAAUACCCAAAGUNGAUGAGCUAACCGAAAGGAGGCAGUCGCCUAAGGUAGGAUUAAUGACUGGGGUGAAGUCGUAACAAGGUAGCCGUAUCGGAAGGUGCGGCUGGAUCACCUCCUU
rnacentral:rRNA from 1 species